UUGGUACAGUCUAUAAAAGCCAUUGGCUUAUGUAUCUGGGCAGGCAUCAUUUCCCGGAUGAGGUUGGGCUUCCGCAGUUUCUGCUGAACGUGACCGUGGGUCAGUAAAGGAGAGCGGCUGCGUGUACAGCCUUGUUUGGCGUUUUGCCGCGGCUGCGCUGUUCGGCUGAUGAAUGUGAUCGCAUCGGUCCUCCUCCAGAAAUCAUUUGGGUGGAUAAUAUCCCUGCAGUGGCGUCACCGCUGUCUCGUUCCAGGUCGAACUUCAUUGAGUCUGUGUGUGCGUUGAGUCCCGGUCGUGUUGUUAGACCUAUGCCAACGGACUUUGUCUUAGUUGUGUACAGGGUUUGUGCCUGAA